CGAACGGGCGUAGCAAUACGUCAGUGGCAGACGGGUGAGUAACACGUGGGAACGUACCUUUUGGUUCGGAACAACUGAGGGAAACUUCAGCUAAUACCGGAUAAGCCCUAACGGGAAAGAUUUAUCGCCGAAAGAUCGGCCCGCGUCUGAUUAGCUAGUUGGUGGGGUAAUGGCCCACCAAGGCGACGAUCAGUAGCUGGUCUGAGAGGAUGAUCAGCCACAUUGGGACUGAGACACGGCCCAAACUCCUACGGGAGGCAGCAGAG
rnacentral:rRNA from 1 species